CCUGGUUGAUCCCUCCCGUAGUCAUACACCUGUUUUAAAGAUUAAACCAUGCCAGUGUAAGUAUAAACAAUUCUAUACUGUGAAACUGCGAAUGGCUCCUUAUAUCAGUUAUAGUUUAUUUGAUAGUAUUCUACUACUUGGAUAACCGUAGUAAUUCUAGAGCUAAUACAUGCGUAAAGUCCCGACUUUUGGAAGGGAAGUAUUUAUUAGAUUUAAGGCCAACCGAGCUUUUGCUUGUCUCUUGGUGAAUCAUGAUAACUUCACGAAUUGCAUGGCCUUUGCGCCGGCGAUAUUUCAUUCAAAUUUUUGCCCUAUCAAUUGGCGAUGGUAGGAUAGAGGCCUACCAUGGUGUUAACGGGUGACGGAGGAUUAGGGUUUGAUUCCGGAGAGGGAGCCUGAGAAACGGCUACCACAUCCAAGGAAGGCAGCAGGCGCGCAAAUUACCCAAUCCUGAUACAGGGAGGUAGUGACAAUAAAUAACAAUACCGGGCUUUUCAAGUUUGGUAAUUGGAAUGAGGACAAUUUAAAUCCCUUAACGAGGAUCC
rnacentral:rRNA from 1 species